GCGGUUUAGGUUGUUGAACUGGCUUCUGAAGCUGAAACUGCGGUUUAGGUUGUUGAACUGGCUUCUGAAGCUGAAACUGCGGUUUAGGUUGUUGAACUGGCUUCUGAAGCGGAAACUGCUGCGGAAACUGCUGGUAAAUUGGUUGUUGAACCGGCUUCUGAAGCGGAAACUGCGGUUUAGUUUAUUGAACUGGCUUCUGAAGCGGAAACUGCUGGUAAGUUGGUUGUUGAACCGGCUUCUGAAACGGAAACUGCAGUUUAGGUUGUUGUUGAACCGGCUUCUGAAACGGAAACUGCGGUUUAGGUUGUUGAACCGGCUUCUGAAACGGAAACUGCGGUUUAGGUUGUUGAACUGGCUUCUGAAGCGGAAACUGCUGGUAAAUUGUUUGUUGAACUGGCUUCUGAAGCGGAAACUGCUGGUAAGUUGGUUGUUGAACUGGCUUCUGAAGCGGAAACUGCGGUUUAGGUUGUUGAACUGGCUUCUGAAGCGGAAACUGCUGGUAAGUUGGUUGUUGAACCGGCUUCUGAAGCGGAAACUGCGGUUUAGGUUGUUGUUGAACUGGCUUCUGAAGCGGAAACUGCGGUUUAGGUUGUUGUUGAACUGGCUUCUGAAGCGGAAACUGCUGGUAAGUUGGUUGUUGAACCAGCUUCUGAAGCGGAAACUGCGGUUUAGGUUGUUGAACCGGCUUCUGAAGCGGAAACUGCGGUUUAGGUUGUUGUUGAACUGGCUUCUGAAGCGGAAACUGCUGGUAAGUUGGUUGUUGAACCGGCUUCUGAAGCGGAAACUGCGGUUUAGGUUGUUGUUGAACUGGCUUCUGAAGCUGAAACUGCUGGGUCAUCAGAGACUGAACAUCCUGAAGCGAUUUACUCCAGUUUGGAACAGCAUGACAGAAAGCACAAACCAGCAAAAUCUGAAGCAAACACCAACUUCCAGCCAUUGUUCAACAGCUAAACACAAA